UGGCGCCCAACGUUGAGGCUUGAGAAUGUGGAGGAUCGGUGAACGUCGCACACCAAGGCAGGCCUGCAUAUCAGUUGGACCACCGUGGAGAAUGCUCCACGAGUGAAGGUCUNGUCAAGUGAUCACCACAGGGAUGCCCNACCGUGAGACAGAUCUGGGGAGUUGAUUUGUGCCGACACAAGGUAAGUUUACCAUGGGACAAGCAUUUAGUAAGCAGGAUUUAUUUAUUUCAGGACUUAAACACGAGGAACAAGGGUUAAAAAGAAAGAUUUUAAAAAGUUUCUUGAUUACAUUGGGGACCUUUGUCCCU
rfam:Neotoma lepida isolate 417 scaffold_1015, whole genome shotgun sequence.